CCUACGGGCGGCAGCAGUGAGGAAUAUUGGUCAAUGGGCGGGAGCCUGAACCAGCCAAGCCGCGUGAGGGAAGAAGGUACUGUGUAUCGUAAACCUCUUUUGUCAGGGAACAAAGUCGGGGACUAGUCCUCGUUUGAGGGUACCUCAUGAAAAAGCAUCGGCUAACUCCGUGCCAGCAGCCGCGGUAAUACGGAGGAUUCGAGCGUUAUCCGGAUUUAUUGGGUUUAAAGGGUGCGGAGGCCGCCUGUUAAGUCAGCGGUGAAAGCCCGGGGCUCAACCCUGGCCAGGCGGUGGAAACUGGCGGGCUGGAGUGGGAGAGAGGUACGCGGAAUGCGCGGUGUAGCGGUGAAAUGCUUAGAUAUCGCGCAGAACCCCGAUUGCGAAGGCAGCGUACCGGCGCCACACUGACGCUGAGGCACGAAGGCGUGGGUAUCGAACAGGAUUAGAUACCCCAGUAGUC
rnacentral:rRNA from 1 species